UCAACACCCAGUCCCAAUUCUCUUACUCCCUAACCCUAGCACAGCAAACGAUGUUGCCAUCGUCAGCCCCCAUCCUGCCUGCUCAUCAUGAAACCCCACCAGCCACCAUGAGCCCUUAGACGCCGCCACUCUUUUCUUCCUCACCUUCUCUGUGCUCGUCGCAAAGCCCCACCAACCGCCGCUACUCUUCUCCUCCUCACCGUCUCUGUGCUAGUCGUGAAGCCCGCCUCUGUGAUCGUCGUCGUCGGCAGCGACAGAGGGUGCCAUCGUCGGCCUUGUUCUCGUCGCCGUCCCGGACGUCUCUGCUUGGCUUCUAUCUCUUCAAGCUCGCUCUCUCUCCCUCUCCGAUCUCACUCCGUCUCACGCGAAACGCGAACGUCUCUGCUCGCUUGUCCUCCUAGCCGUCACCUCCGUUUAACUGCUCGGCCAUCACCUCCUCUCGGACGGCUCUUUUGCUCGACUGUCUUGUCUUCUCCAGUAAGCACUCCUCCAUUGCUUCUUCAGUGCUAAUUUUUUUUUCUGAAAUUAAUUAUAAUUAAUAUAUACUUCUGAGUUAAUUAUUCUUGUUAAUUUGUUUGGUUUUUGAUAAUUUUUUUAAGUUAAAUUUUUUAAAAUAAUUUUGUUGAUUGUUGAUGGUAAUUGUUAAUUCUGGG
rnacentral:lncRNA from 1 species